rnacentral:rRNA from 1 species
GGGAUUGCCCUAGUAACGGCGAGUGAAGCGGCAACAGCUCAAAUUUGAAAUCUGGCCCUCGUGGUCCGAGUUGUAAUUUGUAGAGGAUGCUUUUGGUGCGGUGCCUUCCGAGUUCCCUGGAACGGGACGCCAGAGAGGGUGAGAGCCCCGUACGGUUGGACACCUACCCUAUAUAUAGCUCCUUCGACGAGUCGAGUAGUUUGGGAAUGCUGCUCUAAAUGGGAGGUAAAUUUCUUCUAAAGCUAAAUACCGGCCAGAGACCGAUAGCGCACAAGUAGAGUGAUCGAAAGAUGAAAAGCACUUUGAAAAGAGGGUUAAAUAGCACGUGAAAUUGUUGAAAGGGAAGCGUUUGCGACCAGACUUUUUCCAGGCGGAUCAUCCGGUGUUCUCACCGGUGCACUUCGCCUGGUUUAGGCCAGCAUCGGUUCUCUUAGGGGGAUAAAGGCUUGGGGAACGUAGCUCCUUCGGGAGUGUUAUAGCCCCUUGCGUAAUACCCUUCGGGGGACCGAGGAUCGCGCUCUGCAAGGAUGCUGGCGUAAUGGUCGUCAACGACCCGUCUUGAAACACGGACCAAGGAGUCGAACAUUUGUGCGAGUGUUUGGGUGUUAAACCCUCACGCGUAAUGAAAGUGAACGGAGGUGAGAGCCCUUACGGGUGCAUCAUCGACCGAUCCUGAUGUCUUCGGAUGGAUUUGAGUAAGAGCAUAACUGUUCGGACCCGAAAGAUGGUGAACUAUGCGUGGAUAGGGUGAAGCCAGAGGAAACUCUGGUGGAGGCUCGCAGCGGUUCUGACGUGCAAAUCGAUCGUCAAAUCUGCGCAUGGGGGCGAAAGACUAUCGAACCAUCAUGUGCGU